rfam:Branchiostoma floridae genomic scaffold BRAFLscaffold_187, whole genome shotgun sequence.
ACAUUGUGAAAGACAUGGGUAGUGAGAUUUGUAUCAUGAAUUUAUCCCAUUUCCCUGUCUUUCAACAAGGU